rnacentral:tRNA from 1 species
GAUAACAAGCGUUUUAUUGCUGCCGAAGCAGUUUAUAGAGUAGCUACUAAUCCUAGUUUUGCUGGAACUAAACU